rnacentral:rRNA from 1 species
UACGGAGGGAGCUAGCGUUGUUCGGAAUUACUGGGCGUAAAGCGCACGUAGGCGGCUUUGUAAGUUAGAGGUGAAAGCCCGGGGCUCAACUCCGGAACUGCCUUUAAGACUGCAUCGCUUGAAUCCAGGAGAGGUGAGUGGAAUUCCGAGUGUAGAGGUGAAGUUCGUAGAUAUUCGGAAGAACACCAGUGGCGAAGGCGGCUCACUGGACUGGUAUUGACGCUGAGGUGCGAAAGCGUGGGGAGCAAACAGG